UGAAAAUCUAUUUCAAUGGUUGGCCUGAAAUACAGACAUCUUCCCACAUCUGUGAACCGCUGGGGGUAGGAAUGUAGCCUUCUCCUGCUUUCCAACCACCUCCCCCUCUCACCUUGAGUCACCAUCACAGAUAUUUCUGAAUGUCUGCAGUGUACCAGCAACUUCUCCAGGCUCUGUGGAUGCAAAGGAGAACAACACAGAAACAAUGACCCUGUUGCCUAAAAGUUAGGCUGGACCAUUAGAAAGUGCCCCUGUUCUUCAAUCUUAUGCCACCAGAGUGAGAAAAUGGCAAAAAUAAUGUGCCAUGAGUAUCCUGAUGACCCUCUCAAGACAGAGUCGUG